rnacentral:tRNA from 1 species
GUGUACGUAAUUUAAAUAAAAUACCAAGCCGUGACCUUGGACAUAGAGACACCUCUCGCACACC